rnacentral:rRNA from 1 species
ACGACUCUCGGCAACGGAUAUCUUGGCUCUCGCAUCGAUGAAGAACAUAGCGAAAUGCGAUACCUAGUGUGAAUUACAUAAUCCCACGAACCAUCGAGUCUUUGAAUGCAAGUUGCGUUUGAAGCCACCCGGUCGAGGGCAUGCCUACCUGGGCAUCAUGC